GCCGCGGUGGUGGAAUUGGUAGACACGCUGGUCUUAGGAACCAGUGGGGUUAAACCCGUGAGAGUUCGAGUCUCUCCCGCGGCACCA
rnacentral:tRNA from 5 species